rnacentral:rRNA from 1 species
CAGCCGCCGCGGUAAAACCAGCACCUCGAGUGGUCAGGAGGUUUAUUGGGCCUAAAGCAUCCGUAGCCGGUUGUUUAAGUUUUCGGUUAAAUCUAUGCGCUUAACGUAUAGGCUGCCGAAAAUACUGGACAGCUAGGGGGUGGGAGAGGUACACGGUACUCAAUAGGAAGGGGUAAAAUCCUUUGAUCUGUUGAUGACCACCUGUGGCGAAGGCGGUGUACCAGAACACGUUCGACGGUGAGGGAUGAAAGCUGGGGGAGCAAACCGGAUUAGAGACCCCUGUAGUCCCUGUCUCUUAUAC